AACUAGAUAGCCUAAUGAUGAAAGGCAGCGCUUCUAGCAAUGACAAGGUCCCAGGUUUGAAUCCUGGUCUAGUCA
rnacentral:tRNA from 1 species